GGCUUAACACAUGCAAGUCGAGGGGCAGCAUGGUCUUAGCUUGCUAAGACUGAUGGCGACCGGCGCACGGGUGAGUAACACGUAUCCAACCUGCCGUCUACUCUUGGACAGCCUUCUGAAGGGAAGAUUAAUACAAGAUGGCAUCAUGAGUCCACAUGUUCACAUGAUUAAAGGUAUUCCGGUAGACGAUGGGGAUGCGUUCCAUUAGAUAGUAGGCGGGGUAACGGCCCACCUAGUCUUCGAUGGAUAGGGGUUCUGAGAGGAAGGUCCCCCACAUUGGAACUGAGACACGGUCCAAACUCCUACGGGAGGCAGCAGUGAGGAAUAUUGGUCAAUGGGCGAGAGCCUGAACCAGCCAAGUAGCGUGAAGGAUGACUGCCCUAUGGGUUGUAAACUUCUUUUAUAAAGGAAUAAAGUCGGGUAUGCAUACCCGUUUGCAUGUACUUUAUGAAUAAGGAUCGGCUAACUCCGUGCCAGCAGCCGCGGUAAUACGGAGGAUCCGAGCGUUAUCCGGAUUUAUUGGGUUUAAAGGGAGCGUAGAUGGAUGUUUAAGUCAGUUGUGAAAGUUUGCGGCUCAACCGUAAAAUUGCAGUUGAUACUGGAUAUCUUGAGUGCAGUUGAGGCAGGCGGAAUUCGUGGUGUAGCGGUGAAAUGCUUAGAUAUCACGAAGAACUCCGAUUGCGAAGGCAGCCUGCUAAGCUGCAA
rnacentral:rRNA from 1 species